rnacentral:rRNA from 1 species
UGGGGAAUAUUGGACAAUGGGCGAAAGCCUGAUCCAGCCAUGCCGCGUGUGUGAAGAAGGUCUUCGGAUUGUAAAGCACUUUAAGUUGGGAGGAAGGGCAGUAAGCGAAUACCUUGCUGUUUUGACGUUACCGACAGAAUAAGCACCGGCUAACUCUGUGCCAGCAGCCGCGGUAAUACAGAGGGUGCAAGCGUUAAUCGGAAUUACUUGGCGUAAAGCGCGCGUAGGUUGUUCGUUAAGUUGAAUGUGAAAGCCCCGGGCUCAACCGGGGAACUGCAUCCAAAACUGGCGAGCUAGAGUAGGGCGGAGGGUGGUGGAAUUUCCUGUGGAGCGGUGAAAUGCGUAGAUAUAGGAAGGAACACCAGUGGCGAAGGCGACCACCUGGGGUCAUACUGACACUGAAGUGCGAAAGCGUGGGGAGCAAACAGG